rnacentral:rRNA from 1 species
CAGCCGCCACGGUAAUACGUAGGGUGCGAGCGUUAAUCGGAAUUACUGGGCGUAAAGCGGGCGCAGACGGUUACUUAAGCAGGAUGUGAAAUCCCCGGGCUCAACCUGGGAACUGCGUUCUGAACUGGGUGACUAGAGUGUGUCAGAGGGAGGUAGAAUUCCACGUGUAGCAGUGAAAUGCGUAGAGAUGUGGAGGAAUACCGAUGGCGAAGGCAGCCUCCUGGGAUAACACUGACGUUCAUGCCCGAAAGCGUGGGUAGCAAACAGGAUUAGAUACCCGAGUAGUCCCUGUCUCUUAUAC